AAAGCGUGCGCAGGCGGUUAUGUAAGACAGAUGUGAAAUCCCCGGGCUCAACCUGGGAACUGCAUUAGUGACUGCAUAGCUGGAGUACGGCAGAGGGGGAUGGAAUUCCACGUGUAGCAGUGAAAUGCGUAGAUAUGUGGAGGAACACCGAUGGCGAAGGCAGCCCCCUGGGUCAAAACUGACGCUCAUGCACGAAAGCGUGGGGAGCAAACAGGAUUAGAUACCCCUGU
rnacentral:rRNA from 1 species